rnacentral:lncRNA from 10 species
CCACCCACGCAUCCACCCAUCCAUGCAUCCAUCCAUCCCCUUGCUACACCAUGCAAUCAAUACUCAUUUACUAAUAUGGGACUGUGGGGAAUAUAAAACUGAGUACUAAAUAUAUCUGGGCAGCAUCUAACAGUACUCGUUCUGAUAACUAAUAUUUAUUGAACAGUACCAGAAAUAUAUUUUAAAAAAUGUUGAGUAGGGCCCAGAUCUGCUUUCAAGAAGAAGCUGCCCAGAUCUGCUGAGCAAGAACAGUGCUUCCGGGAACACCUGAGCUAAGGGCUCUCUGGCAGUUUCUUGUCCAGGGAAACCUUCAUAGAAAUGACAUUACGCUUGAGCCAUGGAUGAUGAUAAGGAUUCUGCCAGGUGGGAAGUGUUCAAGGCUUCCUGGGCAGAGGAGGUAGAGGGGUGGCGAGGCAUGGGGCAUGGGAACCGGUGGCAUCUGGCUGCAAAGUGGGGCCCGAGGGAUUGUGAUUGCAGGGUUCCUGUGGGGUUGGCCAGAUCUGGCCUUGGAAGAAAGGUCUGGCGAGACUUUGCAUGGCUUCCUAUGGAGUAAGAAAAGAAGAGCCCAGAAGGGCCGGGUGUGUGUCUGCUCAUGUGUGUGUAAGUUUGCGUGUUUGUGUGUGUGUUUGUGUGUGUGAGUUUGUGAGUUUGUGUAAAUGUGUUUGUGUGAGUUUGUGUUUGAGUCUGAGUCUGUGUAUUUGUGUGUCUGUGUGAGUUUGUGUGUGUGAGUCUGUGUGUCUGUGUGUGUGUCUGUCUGUGUGUGAGUUUGCGUGUCUGUGUGAGUCUGUGUAUGUGUUUGUGUUUGUCCGUGUGUGUGUGAGUCUGUGUUUUUAUGUGUGUGAGAGUGUGUGUGUGUACAUGUGUGCUUAGAGAGCCAUUGGCAUGGUCAGCAUGUGGUUAGAGGCUGCCCUUCUGGGAAGUUCUGAUUUUCUGGCUCCUCACCCCCGAUUCUGUGGCUACAUCCAGGUAUUAAACUCCGAUGGCUUUUCACAUCCUUUGCCCCUGGGUCACACGAGAUUUCCCAAGGGGGUGUAGUGGGGAUUGAAUAGGAGACAGCGGAGGGUGAGAGAAGGAAGGGGAAAGGAAGCAGCAGCAGUGGGCAGGCUUAUCACUGCCCUGGGGUUUGAAGCCGGUUACCAGCACUCAUUUUCCAAAACCAGCCUGCCCAGAUGGCUGUCUGCCCACCUCAGCGGAAAAAGGCGUUGUGGCAUCAGUUCCUGCAGCGGCGCUACUGGGGCCACCAGAUGUGCUUCCUGCCAGCUAGAGCUCUCGGCUAAAACCCUCCUCUCCACUCUGCUCUUCACCCCAUGGAGUCCAGAAAGUUCUGCAUGUGAACGUGAGGGACACUGAGGACCAGUCCUGGGUAGCCAAGGAGGUCCAGCACUCGCAAUUCCCUGGUGGCAGAAGGUGGGGCUGUCCUCCAGGGCUCAGAGAAGUCAUGUCCCUGGCAUCUGUGUGUAGCUCAGGCCUGCCCAUCAGCCUGGGGUCGACGCCAGGGCUGUGCAAAGGCUGAGGGCCCCUGGGAUGGGAAGUCCUACAGGAGAUGUUUGUGGGCACCAUCUAAGGAAGAGAUGAGGUCACAACAGAACACACUUGCCUGCCGGGUUCAAUGGAACUCUUGCUAACUCUGUGUGUUUCCCAUGACAUUCAUUCGCCCUCUCUUCCUUCGGAACAGAAUAGCCUCAUUCCAACACAGCAGCCCGGGUCUAAGGCUCCAUUCCCUGGGCUCCCUCACAGCUGCGUGGGGCAGGAGGCACAGUGGCCAGGGUUUGCAAGUCCAAGUGCAGUGGGUGACCUUGGGGAUAUCUGCCUAGAGGAAGGUGGCCUUCAGUACCCCCUGACUUCUCCUGCUGGCUGAGAGGAUGGGGUGGUAAGGCACGAGCAGCCAUUGUGGGCAGCAGGUGGCACAUGCCGCCCUUUCUCUGCACCUGGUACUUCACCAACCUGCGCCGACAUGUCAAUCAGCCUUGGGAGUGACAAUCUGCUCCCUUCAUCUGUCUUCAGGAAAUCCAGCAGGCAUCCUAAGAAAAGAGAAGUUGCAAGUGCCCUUCUGCAAAGUGACCCGCCCCUGGUGGUGCCAGCCUCUCUCUGGUUAACCUGAGCCCGGGGGAGUGAAGAAGCCAAUCAGAAGACAGAGAGCUUGCUCGGAGGUGAUCCCUUAACCAAAAUCGGGGUAAGUGCCCAGGUGCCACCCCAUUCCAGGUGCCAGAGCUGGAACAUGCAGUUCCGGAGGCCAUGGUUGUGUGGUGCCUACCUUGCGUUCCAGGUCCCUUCUAUAUGGGGCCUCAGGCAGUGGAGGAAUGUACCCUGCCUGGGGGGCAUUUCACCUAUUUGCCCCACACCCUGGGCCUGUGUCCUUCUGUCCUGCACGGAACCUGUGUCCUUCCCCCACCCCUCCCCUACAUAAUGAGUCUCUUCUAUCACACAAUAACUCCUUGGUGGAAAUAAGCACACAGCCUGGGGUACACUGGGCAGGAGGAUGACGCAUGGGGGUCUCCUUCCCUCCUUCUGAAGCCCCAUGGCGAUCCUGUCCCACUCCUUAAACUAUCUGUAUCUCCACACUCUCCCUGUACUCCAUGAAGUCCCCUGAAGGGCAAAAGACAACUCUACUUGCUUUUCUAGAGGACAUGGGCCUUGGCAGGGACCUGGGUACAGCUCCUGCCAAAAGCACCGUGGGCAUCAGCCCCAGGUAAGGGAGCACUCAUGGACCAGCCCCAGGUAAGGGAGGACUCAUGGACCAAUCCAGGGAUAAAACGGAACACGAGUUUUAUAUCCUGGUGGGCGGGGGGGGGAAGGGGGCAGGUGUCAGCAGCGAUGGAAAUGUGAGGACACCAGGCCUGGAGCUUCAGUGACUUGGCCAAAGUCCCACGGCUGCCCUCGGUGUGCACUCAGGCUCUGGAACAUCAUGGCUCAUCACGUUUAACCUCCUGUUUCCAUCUGGGUGAUGAAAAGCUAAGGGGAGUUAACGCGCCGCUGCAGCUCAUUGUCAAAGCCAGCUUCAGGCAGAGAACGAAGGAGGGAGCGACUUCGGGGCUGGCACUCCCUCCACAAGUUUCCUUUCCCUGCAUCUCAACCUCCAUGCUUUUGGAAGCCUCCCCUGUAAGUUCCAUCUGACUCUGACCUUGGCAUCCCCCCACUAUCCUGCAAAACUCAGCCAGGGAAUCACAGAGCCCUGCGGCAGGCAGCACAGUUUCUCAGCAAUCAUGUAGGUCCCCACUUGGGCAUCUGGUCACUCGGGGACCCUUUGUCAUGGACUAUUGAGAAAUCUAGUCUCGUUGGAGUGACUAGGGGCUUUAUUUUCUGGCUAAAGAGGGUAUCUCUUACUCCUACAAGCAGAUAGCCAUUCACAGCUGCAAGUACCCAUGUCCAUGGCGGACACCGUAAUAAGCUAUGCCCAGGGGCUCUGUUCAAAGUCAUUUGCUGCCUGUUACAUACACCUGUUAUUUUGUCUUCUAGGUUAAUGUUUUCCCGCAGGCAAGUGGUAGCAGAUGUCAAGGGUUAAGGACAAUUUAGGAGGUAAGAAUUUCCAGGCUGCACUUGUGUCGGGUGCCUCGGGCGAUGAGCCCAGGAGCCCGCUCUCCACGCAGUGACGCUUCCCAAGCUGGUGCUUUAGACCCCUCACUUGCCUGGCUGCUCUGAGGCCCCGUCCCUGAUGGCUUCUGACAAUUUGGUGUCCUUUGUAAAGACGACCUCAGAUCCUAUCAGCUUCAGUUUCACAAAACCUGGAUCCCCUGCCUCUGUGGUAUGUCUGGACUGCCCUGGGCAGGCAGGGCCUGGCUCUGAGAUGAAGAUUUCUCAGCACUGAAGGACCGCCUGCCUUUGAGCUGUGAAACUAGUCUAUCCUCACAUAGACACCAGUAAACUGAGGCUUGAGAGGCUCAAGGACACCCCGGAGGCCACGAAGGGUAGAACUCACUCCCCUGCUUCCAUCCCUGUCUUGCAUUCACUGCUGUGGCUCGGAGAAGCAGAGGGGUCUUGCUUUGGAGUUGUGUGUGUGUGUGCAUAUGUACGUGUAAGGUGUGUACAUGUGUUGCACACGUGUUCAUUGCAUCUGUGCAUAUGUGCACAUGUAUAUGUGUGCGUGUGUGUGUAUAUGUGCAUGCGUGGACAUGUGUAUGUGUUUGCAUGUGUAUGUGUGCACACAUGCCUGUGUAUGCACAUGUGUGUAUAUGUGUGCAUUUGUGCAUAUGUGCAUGUGUGUUCAUGUGUGCAUGUGUAUGUGCGUGUGGUGGUGAUGAUGGUUGAACAGUCCUGCAGCCCUGGUCCCAUAUGGCCUAUUCCCAGCUUGGACUGGCUUCCUGGGGUGGACAUGGACAGGAAAAGAUGCCAGACUCAUAGAGAACCCCUUCUUCCUCCACACCAGAUUGGGCAGGGGGUGGGGAGGCUUUCACCUUAGCAAUAGGCAAUGGUUGAAAUAUCAUUUCCAGGGUGACAUGACAUGAUGUUUGGGAUUUACUUCGAAAGAACAGGGGUGGAGCGGGAGAUACAGAUGAAACAAGACUGGCUCAGUUGAUAAUUGUUGAAGCUGGCUGUUGGGUACCAGGGGUUCCACUAAACUAUUUUCUCUACUUCUGUGUAUGUUUGAAAUGUCCUGGAACAACAAUAAAACACUUAUGUCAUCUCCAGUGAUUCCCAAAUUAUUUCUUGUACAGAGGUGCUCUGCCACAAAAAUGAAAUAGUGACAAUAUCCAAUAUGAAUAUAAAUAUAAAAUGCAUAUAUCUAUGUGUAUGUAUAUGUAUGUAUAUGCAUUCAUUGGCAUAUUCCAAGAAAUCCUGCACAGAGCACCCCAGCUUUCCAAUGCACCCUUCCUGCUCCCCAACCUGGUCCUGCCCCUUUGUGGGGCACCAAGGCCUCAUGAUGUCCCCAGAGAAUCACAGGGUGCUAUGACAGCUUUUCAUACUCUGGGUUUCCACUCUGGCUGCUGUUCUUGAGCCACAGAUGGAACCAAUGGACAGCCCAAGGGUGCUCCCACCAGGUGACAACUCUGUCCAUUCUCAUCGCCCCAACCACAGGGAACCAGACUCAUAUUCCAGACACUCUCUCUCCCUUUCCUCCUCUGAUGUCACUGUCACCAUCUCCUCUCCAGUUAAAAUUGGCUACAAGGCUGUACCUGGUCCCUGUGGACAGCUUCCUGAUGAGCAAAGCAUUCUUCAUACUGCCUGGGAAGCCCCUGGGUCACCCUAGCUUGCCACGUUGUAGAGCUUGGGAAGCCUCUCAGCCUCUUAGAUGAUGUGGUCACUGGUGCUUUGGGCUCUGAUGCUUACUGUUGGCCCCCAGCAAGUCACUUCCUGUUUCAGGGACUCCCUUUCCUCAUCUGUCAAGUGGAUUAGUAUCUUACAGACGAAAAGCUAGUGGCCAGUGAGCACCAGGGACCAUAAUAGGGUUCGGUGCAACACAUGCAUUAACAGCCCCAAACUGGAAACAACUCAAUGCCCACAACAUGAGAAUGGCUAACUUGACUCUGGAAUGGUCACACCCGGGAUUCUGUAUAGCAAUGAACAUGAACAGGCUCACCAUCCUCAACCACAUGAAUGAAUCUGUUACUGGUUGAAUCAUGUGCGCUCCCAAUUCAUAUGUUAAAGUCCUAACCCUCGGUCCUGAGAAUGUGGCUAUAUGUGGAGACAGAGCCUUUAAAGGGGUGAUUAAGUUAAAAUGAGGUCAUAUGGGUGGGCCCUAAUCCAAAUUGACAGGUGUCCUUACAAGAAGAGAUUAGGACACAGACAUGCAUGGAGGGACGGCCACGUGAGGACACAGAGAAGACGGCCAUCGGCAAGCCAAGGAGAGAGCUCCCGGGAGGAGCCAACGCUGCUGACACUUUGGUCGUGGACUUCCAGCCUCCAGAGCUGUGAGAUAAUAAGCUUCUGUGGUGGAAGCCACCCAGUCUGUGCCACUUUGUUACGGCAGCCCAGGAAACUAACAUAGAAUCCCACAAACACUGCUGAGUGACAGAAGCAAGACACACAGAAACAAAAACAGUGAUUCUAUCUACAUCAAGCUGAAAAAACAGACAAGACAUGGUGGCGAAACCACAGAGAAGAGCAAGGAAGGAUUUCCAUCCAAGUCAGGACAGCAGGUAGCUCUUGAGGGUGGGGGUUGAAUCAGGAAGGAGCCCAAGUGGGGGAGUGAGGGGGCUCCUGGUGGUCUGGGAUGCUCUUUCUCUUGGCUGUCAUUACACAGGGAUUUGUUUAUUAUUACCCUAUAUGAUUUAGAAUUACACAUUCAUACUUCAUGCAAGCUUUAUAUGUGUUUUAUAUUUUACACCAAAAAAAUUAAGAAGGAAAGAAAGCCAAAUGACAGAGAAAGAGAGAAAACCCCUGAGGGUGAUGGCAGCUGUUUUGCUCAGUCAGUGGAUUUGAACUCAUGAGUGUCUAGACUGGCAUGGGCUCCCCUCAAUUACCACCCUCUUCUCUUACAUCACGGCACAGGCCACUUCCUAACAUAUGCUACCUGCAGCCUCUGGCUGAGAUGAUCUUGAAGGAUUCUUUGAGCUCCCCCUAAUCCUUGAUUCCAAAGAGGCUGGUGGUUAAGGGCUCAGGGUUCCCCCUUCCCUGGCCCCCACUGGCCUCGGUGUUCCUGCUGACUGGGCAGCAGGGCCAGUCUGGCGUGGGACCACCCCUGUCCACCCGGCUUCCUGUGCCCAGGUGGUUUCCAGCCGGGACAGGGAGGACUGUGUGGACAGCCCCCAUGUCAACUCCCGGGCAGGGCCUGAAUUGGGAGGGACACAAGCCCGGAAGCUGCUGGUUCUCCUGGCAGUCACCCCUUCCCCUCUCACUCCAGGGCCAGGCCUCUGGAGGCGCCUUCCCGGGAGGAGCAGGGCAAGGAAGGCAGGCAAAGCCACCAAGCCUACCUUUGUUGGUUUCACUCUCUCUGAUAAGAAAGGA